rnacentral:rRNA from 1 species
UACGUAGGGUGCAAGCGUUAAUCGGAAUUACUGGGCGUAAAGCGUGCGCAGGCGGUUGUGUAAGACAGAUGUGAAAUCCCCGGGCUCAACCUGGGAACUGCAUUUGUGACUGCACGGCUCGAGUGCGGCAGGGGGGAUGGAAUUCCGCGUGUAGCAGUGAAAUGCGUAGAUAUGCGGAGGAACACCGAUGGCGAAGGCAAUCCCCUGGGCCUGCACUGACGCUCAUGCACGAAAGCGUGGGGAGCAAACAGG